AGCAUCUAUGGCUAUAUUCAUACACAAGUUGAAAGAUACUCUGAGUUCAGAACAACAUGAGGUUUGUCCGUGUAUACCGGCAUCAUCUAUAGUAAACCGCAGACCCAUCAAACAGCCUGCUGUGGCAUUUGAAACCCAUUGCUUGUGCAGAUGUCCGGUUCUAUCAGAGUCUUACCUGCCCCGGGUAAACUGAAAGAUUUUCAGUAUUUCGCAAGAAAUGCCCAAAAAGUUUCAGGACGGUCAACAUCACAACAUGUUUGUAUGAGCUUAAUGUGAUCAAAUCUUUCCCGAGGGAAAUAAAAAUAUGUUCAAAUUAAAGUUUAAAA